AGCCUCCUGGCAAUGGGUAAAGAGACAACUUGUUGGUGAUAUUGUUCUUAUAUCAAUCGAGGGCAGAGCAGAUAGCAGUCCUUUGUUCAUCCUAGCUUGAGGCCUAGCAUGUUGCCUGAAGCUGUCUUAUGCCUAGGACUCAUAA